rnacentral:lncRNA from 10 species
CAAAGAUGGUCUCCAUUGAUACCUGUCUUCCUGUGGGCUCAUGCUAGUCUUUUAAUCAAGAAGUGGAGUCCCAUUCCCUUCCCUUUUAAUCUGGGCUGGACUUCAUGGCCUGUUUGACCAAUAGAGUGCCGCAAAAGUGUCAUUCUGGUACUUCUGAGUUACAGAGAAUAUGUGGACCUUUUGCUUGGGGCUCUUGACACACACACUUUGGGGUAAGCCAUCCGCCAGGCUCUCAAUGUAGGGUGAAGAAAAAAAAAAAAAAAAACACACAGCUUAUGUAAUCGGACUUGGACUUCGUUCACAAAAGUGCUACCUUUUCAGCAUGGGAGAUCUUUGUGGGGACUUCUCUGAAUGCCCUUUUCAGCUCGGCUCCUCUGAAGCUAUGCUCCUACCUUGUUCCAUGUGGAAAGGCUCUUCCAUUUUGCAGAGAACAUGCACACUGGACUUUGCACAG